CUGAUGAAAAGUCCUAAUAUUCGUGGACUAUGAGUCCUACGUGUCUGGGACUCUGUGAUCGAGAAUCAGGAUUCUCUGAUCAUGAGUCCCACACAUUUUGGGUACCGGGGUCAAGAGUCCCACUGGUUUGGGACUCUUCGAUCAAGGUUUCAUAUUGAUGGACUUUGAUACCCGAUUGCCCAUUGGAUUUGGAUUCAAUAUUUAUGAGAGGUUUAAUUAGUGAUUUGAUCGCUAAUUAACUCAAUUUGAUUGAGUAAUUAUUUUUGGAUCAAGUUCAAUUGAAUUGGAUUCAGUUGGGUUUGACCCGAUUAGGUUAAGAGUUGACCU
rnacentral:lncRNA from 1 species